ACCUUUUUUCAGUUCGGGUCCAAGAUACAGACUACAGAUACAAUUGUGGAGAGCAGCGACUGAACCACCGCUCAGGCUCAGGGGUUGCAAUCCGAUUAGGGUUUUGCCGCAAGCACUCGACGAGUCAAGCUGAGAUCGUCAUCACCAAAUCCAAUGGCACCUCCUCCAGGCCCUUACUCUGGCACCAGCACCCUCGCCUUGAUGCACUCCUUUCCUUUCCCUCUGAUCUCUUCUGCCGAGGAAUGUGAUCGUAAAGUUUAUUUCUUUAACUUUUGAAUGUUUGAUAGGUUGCUCGUGCAUCGGCCUUCACUUUCGGUCUGGUUUAUGGAAGCGUGAAGCUCAGGGUUCUCAAGGCCAAGUCACAUAAGAAAGCUGAAGCCAAGGCUAAACAUUGACGGGCUGAAAUGGUUGCCGCAGGGCAACAUCAUUAUAAUUUCUUGCCAGAAGAACGUUUAUUUUAUGUUUUAGUUAGUACCCUUUAGAAGCUUCAACCAUAGGCUGAGUGAGUGCCAGCCUUUUCGGAUUGUUCUUUUGUAGUUGCAUAAGUAGUAUCCUUGAAGAAGCUAUGUGUAAGACUGGUCUUUUCUCCUGUUUCACCCUUUUAUUUUUACUUCAUUCGUUGGCGUUUUUUGUGUUGUCUUGAUUCUUGCAAGCAACAUUCUUAUGUUUUAUUACUUUUUUGUACUAGCAUUUCUUCUCAUCUAAGUCUUCCUAGCCCUUUCUGCUCCAAGGUUACGGAAAAUUUGGAAUUCAUAAUUUUGGUGGUAGAGCAUUUACCUUCGGAAAUUUUUUGUUUACACUACAUUAUGCAACUCUAGGACAGCAAAAAGGACA